GGGUUGUGAGGUUAAGCGACUAAGCGUACACGGUGGAUGCCCUGGCAGUCAGAGGCGAUGAAGGACGUGCUAAUCUGCGAUAAGCGCCGGUAAGGUGAUAUGAACCGUUAUAACCGGCGAUUUCCGAAUGGGGAAACCCAGUGUGACUCGUCACACUAUCAUUAACUGAAUCCAUAGGUUAAUGAGGCGAACCGGGGGAACUGAAACAUC
rnacentral:rRNA from 1 species